rnacentral:lncRNA from 1 species
AAAGAAGUAGGAAGAGAAGGAGGAGGAGGAAAAGAAGAAGGAGAAGAAAAUGAACCUCUGUGCAUUCUCUUUUCAGGCAUAGAAGGAUCAUCUCAGUAUCUCAGAAGCCUCUUUGACUUCUCAAAAUCCCUUCUUCCCUUUACCACUAGGAAACCUCUUUCCAAACUUUCCUUUUCUUUGUAGAUUUACAAUCCAUGCAAGUAUCCACAAAGGAUCUCUUGCUCGGUCUUGAGUGAGUAGCAAACACAACCUCAAUUGUUAUUAAAAAGUAGGUUCCUGGGAGAAGAUAGGUUCAAUUUCAUCUCCAGGUGCAAUUUUUUAGAUUUACUGUGCAGACAGUAUCCCUCUGGAAAGCUCGUGGGCAAUUCCGGGGUUGAACCUGGAAAAAUGGGCUCAAACACUGCUAAGGCAUCAAAUUGUGGGUCCAGCAGUGACAUGGUCUAUAAGACAGCUGCUCUCAUCUCUCCAGUUCUGACCUUCACUGUUCAGGAGAAGGCUAGAGGAGACGAUUUCUGUGAGGUGAAAUGAGGACCCUCAGCUGAUGCAAGCAGUAGGUCAUGGAGGAGAAAGAAUAAACGAUUAGAACAUGGACAAGAUAAGUAAAUAAGCUUAGCUGGGCACUCUGACCUUGAUUUUAAAGAAAGGCAGCAGGGAUCCUGCUCACAACCCUCUGGGCACCUCUCCGGGUGAGGGUGCUUCCAUCUGGAUUGUGUCCUCUGCUCAGCUCAGGGCCUCCCUUCAUCACCCCAAGGAUGCCUUUUUCUCUUUCUUUGUCGAUUUUCUCGUGUAUUCCAUGCCUUUUCUUUCUUGGUUUACUCUCUAAUUUUAGUAGUGUGCUUCCUU